rnacentral:rRNA from 1 species
GAGUUUGAUCCUGGCUCAGGAUUAACGCUAGCGGAAGGCAUAAUACAUGCAAGUCGAACGGGAUAGAACUUAGCAAUAGGUUCUUGAGAGUGGCGCACGGGUGCGUAACACGUAUGCAACCUGCCCUUAAUCGGGGGAUAGCCUCUCGAAAGAGAGAUUAAUACCCCAUAAUAUAUUUGUUAGGCAUCUAAUGGAUAUUAAAACUCCGGUGAUUAAGGAUGGGCAUGCGGCUGAUUAGGUAGUUGGUGGGGUAAUGGCUCACCAAGCCAACGAUCAGUAGGGGGUCUGAGAGGAUGUCCCCCCACACUGGUACUGAGACACGGACCAGACUCCUACGGGAGGCAGCAGUAGGGAAUAUUGGACAAUGGAGGCAACUCUGAUCCAGCCAUUCCGCGUGCAGGAAUAAGGCCCUAUGGGUCGUAAACUGCUUUUGUAUGGGAAAAAAUCACUUUACGUGUAAGGUGUUGAUGGUACCAUGAGAAUAAGGAUCGGCUAACUUCGUGCCAGCAGCCGCGGUAAUACGAAGGAUCCAAGCGUUGUCCGGAUUUACUGGGUUUAAAGGGUGCGUAGGCGGGAGAUUAAGUCAGUGGUGAAAGCUGGUAGCUCAACUAUCAAAUUGCCAUUGAAACUGAUUUUCUCGAGUACGGUUGAGGUAGCUGGAAUGUAACAUGUAGCGGUGAAAUGCUUAGAUAUGUUACAGAACACCAAUUGCGAAGGCAGGCUACUAAACCGUAACUGACGCUGAGGCACGAAAGCGUGGGGAUCAAAC